UACAGGGGGGGCAAGCGUUGUUCGGAAUUACUGGGCGUAAAGGGUUCGUAGGUGGCCACCUAAGUCAGACGUGAAAUCCCUCAGCUUAACUGGGGAACUGCGUCUGAUACUGGGUGGCUUGAGUGCAGGAGAGGAAUGCGGAAUUCCAGGUGUAGCGGUGAAAUGCGUAGAUAUCUGGAGGAACACCGGUGGCGAAGGCGGCAUCCUGGACCGACACUGACGCUGAGGAGCGAAAGCCAGGGGAGCAAACGGG
rnacentral:rRNA from 1 species